rnacentral:rRNA from 1 species
CCCUUAGAUGUCCUGGGCCGCACGCGCGCUACACUGAGUGUCUGAGAUACGAGUCUGCCUGGUCCGGCAAGGUCUAGGUAAUCGCUAAAAGACACAUCAUGCUUGGGAUAGAUUAUUGCAAAUAUUAAUCUUGAACGAGGAAUUCCUAGUAAGCGCAAGUCAACAGCUUGCGUUGAUUAAGUCCCUGCCCUUUGUACACACCGCCCGUCGCUACUACUGAUUGGAUGUUUAAGCGAGGUUCUCGAACUGCUAGCGACUUAGCUUCGGUGAGGUCGCAGUGUGGGAAGUGAACCUAGCUUUGGUGUCUAGAGGAAGUAAAAGUCGUAACA